rnacentral:misc_RNA from 1 species
CGGUAAUAGAACGUCCCAAAAAGAAAAAGAAAAGGAACCUUCCCUUCUUUCCUCGUCCUUCGCUAUUUCCAACACACACAAGCAAAAUUAGAUCCUUCAGUUCUUUGAGGAAAGCAGAAAAAUGGCAAUGACAAUUGAAGUGCUUGCUGGGCUUGCUUUUAUGUUUUCAGCUAGCAUUCUACUGCAAAUAUUGGCUUGUGCAAUAUACAACAAUUGGUGGCCUAUGCUAUCAGCUCUCAUGUAUGUGUUGGUGCCUAUGCCUUGUUUAUUCUUUGGAGGGGGGUCCACUCAGUUUCUGAUCAGCCGGGAUGGUGGGGGUUGGAUAGGUGCUGCUAAAUUCCUUACAGGGGCAUCAUCUGUUGGGAGCAUAGCCAUUCCUAUUAUCCUUAGGCAUGCUCAUAUGAUUGAAACAGGGGCUAUGCUGAUCGAGUUCACAUCAUUCUUCAUAUUUGUUUGCACGGUCAUGUGUUUUCACCGUGCUAGUCUAGAGGAUGAUUGGUGACUGAAGCAUUACUUGCUAACUUCUGAUGUGAUUUGCUUGCUUUUGUUGAUCAUAUAAGUUAUAUAUGACCAAUUAGUGUAUUAUACAUGGGAAAAGACCAUCUUGUAAAUUCCUUUU